GCAAGUCGGGCGGUAACAGGAAGAAGUUUACUUCUUUGCUGACGAGCGGCGGACGGGUGAGUAACGCGUAGGAAUUUGCCCAGUAGUGGGGGAUAGCCCGGAGAAAUCCGGAUUAAUACCGCAUACGCCCUAAGGGGGAAAGGUGGCCUCUAUUUAUAAGCUACCGCUAUUGGAUAAGCCUGCGUAGGAUUAGCUUGUUGGUGAGGUAAGAGCUCACCAAGGCGACGAUCCCUAGCUGGUCUGAGAGGAUGAUC
rnacentral:rRNA from 1 species